ACAGACUCAAAAAUAAAAAAAUCACGUCGUCAGUUAUAAUUACAUAUUUAUGCAUGUAUUCUCAUGUUCAUGUUAGACAGUCAGCUAGCAUUAACAUGCAUGUGAACCCUUACAUUUAGCCUAUCUCACAUGUAUACUCGAUACAUAUGUACUGACGCAUUCGUGCUAUGGUGCUUUCUUUUUAUGUUACACCAUAGGUUCUGAGACACGAGUUCCAGAUCAGUAGUAGAUUUCAGUUUCAGUAGUCAGAGUAGAAGUGAGUCCUCAUCCUUCGAGGACAUAAUGAUUUUCUAGUAUCUCAUUGAUUAGCUUAUUUGUUGGAGUUAUUUGGGGACUUAUCCCAUCAACUCCUUAUUCAGAUUCUUCAGACAGUAGAGGCUUUUAUACUAGAUGCAUACUAGAUACAGACUUUCAUGUUUUAGACUUCAGUUUUGUUUUAGGUAUUCUAUUACACCACAUAGAUGUUACGUUAUUCAGUUAUGUUCAUGAUCGAACCUUAUGGCCUUUCAGUGCAUGUGUUUCGCACUAUUAUGUUAUCUUAUGCAGUAUACAGGUAUAGAUAUUAGUGAUGGGUUAUCUUGUGGUCCUUCGGGGUCAUGAGUACCAUGUAGCAUUCCGGUUCAGAAAAUUGGAUCGUUACAUAAAGCCUCCCUACCUCUAACACGAACCACUGCAUUGCCCCCUCCCCCAUCUCUCUCUCUCUCUCCCGAUUUUUUGUGGUUGUCUUACCUUAAGUGGUGACCAGCGGGUACCACCAAGACGCCACGACCGUUGACCUAUUUCUCAUUCACUUUCUUUGCUAGCUCAUCAGAUUUGGUAGCCGGAGAGUUCGGGCUCCCAACAUACCACCAUUGCUGCCUUACUGGAAAUGGCUAGAUUCGGGUAAAAUUUUAUUUCUCCGGCAUUGCUCCGAUGAAAACCAUUGAAGCAACGCCGCUAUCACCA
rnacentral:lncRNA from 1 species